AAUUUCUCACUCAAACACUUAAUUUCUUUUUUAAACAUCCAUCACUCAAAACAGCCCUCACUUAGAAGUGAGAACCCAAACCCUCGAAUCAUCUUUAUCACUCAACUAAGAACCCUAAACCUUCGUAGCCCUCUCUCAGCUCGCAGCCCACUCAGCUCGCAGCCCUCUUCAUCACUGAGAAUCCAUCUUCAUCUUUCAGCUUGUAGCCCUCUCUCAACUUGCAACCCUCUAUCCCUCUUUUGUAACUCUUGGAAACUUCAAUCAGUGCUGCCUCCGUCAGCGUACCCUCCCAAAGAAUAAGAAAGUUUAAUUACCCAGAAAAAAAGAAUAAGAACGUUUAGGUUUUUUGCGUUUUUCUCUGUGGCUCACUGGAAACUCGUUCGGCACCUAUUCAUCGUCCUCAAGUGAAGAAGAGACCGCUCUUUUUUCCUAUCAACAAGGAUGUCUGGUGAAGAAGGUCCUGUUGUGGCAGCUGAGCCAGCAGCUCCUGCCAUCGGCGAGCCAAUGAAUAUCAUGACUGCCUUACAGCUAACACUUAGGAAGUCACUUGCUUAUGGUGGUCUUGCACAAGACCUUUGUGAGGGUGCCAACGUGAUCAAGAAGCGCACUGCUCAGCUCGUUGUUCUUGCUGAGGAUUGUGACCAACCUGACUAUGUUAAACUCAUCAAGGACCUUUGUGCUGAGCAUUUGUGAUUUGAGUCUUUCUUACUGAGGAUUGUGAUUCUAGUCUUUUUUCAUACUGAUAACAUUAUCGUGAUUUGAGUACUCAUCUUAUAUUAUGUUUUUGUUAUUUUUUAUCCAAAGUUUCAAUCUUUUGAAUUUUAUUUCAGGCUAUAAGGGUUGCUGCCAUGAACUGUAUUGAUGGGAUAUAUGCAUUGUGAGGUCGUACUGCAUGUUCUGGCAAGAAAAAUAGUACUUAACUGUCAGCGCAAUUGGACUUAUCCAUUACUUCUUAAUUAAUAUUUCCUUGAUAUUAAGAUUUUCUAAACUGGAAAUAAAUGUCUUAAUUGAUGGUUACUAUACUUGUCAAAAUGUUUCAAUACAAAAUGCUUGUUAUGCAUGCUUUAGUUUGUUGAAGGGGUGCAUAGGUAUUAUUAAAACUCAUUCUUCAUCUUAUACAGUAAAAAGAGGUAAAUAAAACUGCAACUGUGAUAGUGGAGAUGCAAUGAUAUCUGAAAUUAUAAAAUCCUCUUUCUUGCAAGAAUUAAACCUUUUGUGUUUGGUCUAUAUGUCUGCUUAAUUCAUUAUCAUACUCCUUAUUUUAUCUUGCAACAGUUGGUUGGCUAAUACAUACAAAUCCAUUGCCUUGUAUAAUCCAAUAUUUAAGUUGGUAAAUCCGGAAGGCAAUUAACUCGUUGAUAUAUAUAAAUGUUUACAUGGUGAGAUGUGAAUCAUUUAAUGGAGCACCUCAUAUCAAUACUUUUACUUCUGCUUCUACUUACUGUUAUUAUUAUUUUUAUCAGUGCACAAAGUGUGGCAAAUCUGAUCAGGUCAAUUUCUACAUUGUAUAUUCAUGAGGUUGUUUCUUUUUCUGCCCCUCUCUGAGUCUCUUCUUUGUUUGUUUGCAUCACCCAUUUUAAUUCUCUUGUUAAUAAAUCGAGGUAGGUAUAUGGCUACCCUUUCUCUGUUCCUCUCUGUGAUUUCAAAAUGGUUGAACUUUGAACUGUGAACUUGAACUAUGAAUUGUGAACUUGUUUCUUCAAUUGUAUAUUUUCAGGAUAAUUGAUUGUAAUUAUUUUGAUUCUUCUGUUUCUUGAGAAUUUAAGUUGUUUCCUGAGAAUUUGAGCAUGGUUUUGAUUCCUCUGUUUGUUUAGCGAAUGUCCUUGAACUGAUCUAAACUUUAAUCUGCAUGGUUUGUUUAGCAAAUGAUUUUGAUUCCUCUGUUUCCUGAGAAUUUGAGUUGUUUCUAUGUGUUUUAUAGUGUUGAAAAUUAUGAUUCAUUGAUCUGUACUUGAUGAGAAAUUUAUAGAAUUUUAAGGUUGAGGUUAAGUUUGAUUGUCCCGAUUGAUUUGAUACUUCUGAUGAGUACCAUUCACAAGAACUAUCUUUGACACUUUAUCACAGAGAAGACUCAUUAUCCAAGAGAAGUAACCUAGACCCUUAAUAUCUCAAAGGUACACCGUCCAUGAGAUCUUAGAAAGAUAUGAGCGACACAUACAUCAUACUGUCCGGCGAUCGUGGUUUCAGAAAGGUAAGAAGAAUGGGAAGUAAAGAAACUGCAUUGAUAUUCAUGCAUAAUGCUGUGAGCUACAAGAUUUAGCAGCAUGAGUUUUUGCCUACAAACCGCGAAACUCAACAAUAUUAUAUUUGGAUUAUUGAUAUUUAUUUUUUAAUUUCUUUAUUUUCUACACAAAAAAUGACAAAGAUAUAGAAUAAGUUAAUGACUUUUAAUAAGUUUUAUAUGUAUUGAUAUUUUUUAUCCCAAUGUAUUUUAUAACUACUUUGGUUAUAAGAGAUUGAUAUAAGCUAAUUUUGUUUGAAAUUUAUUAAUGUAAUACAAAUUUUCAUUAAUUAAUUUUUUAAAUGAUAUUCACAGA